AUUCAGCUCACGAAUCCCAAAUAGGACGAAACGCAUGUCAAACUAAAU
rfam:Schistosoma curassoni strain Dakar, Senegal genome assembly, scaffold: SCTD_scaffold0005178